CUACAUAGCUCGAGUAGGAAAUGCCCUACACAGCUGGUGUAGGAGGAUGCUCCUUGCGGCAGAUGCACGUAAGAAAAUGAACUGUAUGAAUUCAAAUGGAAAGCCACCCUUACAUUUUUCAUUAAAAAAAACAUGCCCAUCUGAGAUCUGUCUGGAAAACACGGAAGUUGCUGAGCAUCCUAUCUCUCUCUACAGGAAACUCAUUCUCUCUCCUCACAGCACAAACCCUCCAAUUGCAAAAGCCAUUUGUCACAUAAAAACCCUAUCUCUCUCCUCGCAACCCAACCCAUCUCUCCUCAGAGAACCCUUAUCUCUCUCUUCUCGCAGCCCAACCCACCUCUCCCUCUAUACAAAACAACAAUUUCUCUCUCACACACAGAAGCCCUCUCUCUCCUCAUGCAACAACCCUCUCCCUCUAUCCAUUUCUCUCCCUCACCCCGAGAAUGCAUUUCUCUCACAGUAGAAACACCCAAAAUCGCAGAAGAAGAAGCAGCAACAGCAGAGCCCUCUCUCACACAGUAUAAACACCCAAAAUCGCAUAAAUAAGAACGCAAUAGGGAUUUAAUCAUGAUAUGGGUUUGGCUGCUGGCUUGGCGGAUGCAUAAAGGUUUAUGUCUUAUUCUUUGUGCCCUUCCUUAAUUUCAUCUACUAGCAUUGUAUCACUUCACGCCUGAGUUUCUGUGGCUAAAUAUCUCCUAAUGUGGUGUUGAAUUCUUUGGCUUCUUUUGUAGCCGACUUGAAACCUCAGUAGAUGCUUCGCAGUCCUUUAACUAUGGCUCUUACAGUCAUUUCAUGAAAGAAUGCCCCAAACUUCAUGAUAUUGUUGCUGUAAAACAUGCUCGCAAGAAAUACAAUAUUUCUUUUUUUCUUUAAUAUCAUUUCUGACGUGUUGUUUUCUAUAUAUUGGAUGCUCAUCGGUAAUUUGCAGAGCCUUAUCUCCGUAUUCUGUUUUAUGAAAAAGUCUGGAAAAUGUUUUUAUAGGUCUGCAUUUGAGUUGCUAGUUUGUGACAUUUAUGGAUGGGAAGCAAACAUGCUUUUUUGUAAUGGAAUUUGUAUACAAAUACUUGUGUUUAAAGGGAGCUUCAGUCACAGUGAGCAAACUUUAAGAUUCAAACAAUUGUAUUGAACUUGU